UACGAAGGGGGCUAGCGUUGCUCGGAAUCACUGGGCGUAAAGGGUGCGUAGGCGGGUCUUUAAGUCAGGGGUGAAAUCCUGGAGCUCAACUCCAGAACUGCCUUUGAUACUGAGGAUCUUGAGUUCGGGAGAGGUGAGUGGAACUGCGAGUGUAGAGGUGAAAUUCGUAGAUAUUCGGAAGAACACCAGUGGCGAAGGCGACUCACUGGCCCGUUACUGACGCUGAGGCGCGAAAGCGUGGGGAGCAAACAGG
rnacentral:rRNA from 1 species